GUAUAGCUUCUCUACAUGUUUAUGUGCUUUCAUCAUGCUUCCUUGUUAGUUAUAAAGAAGAUUUUUUCUUUGUUGAUAUUAUGAAUUCUGGAAUUAGCAAAUUGAGUAGCAGAUGCUUGUAUUUAUUUGUUUAUUUUUCUUCGUAUUAAUAUCUUCUGAUUGAUAAUGUUCCUGAAGAUGUUAUAAAUUUAAGUUAUAUCAUGUAGCUAAUAUGAGGCUGAAAUUAGCUUUGUUGAUGCAGGUACUCAUAAAUUUGUUGUCCACUCGAGGAGUGCUUGAGCAAGAGGCAUGCUUGGAUGCCCUAUUAGCAUUAAUGUUGGAUUGUUCAUCCAACCAGAUGGUAUGGUAUUUUUCUGUAUCUUUUCCUUGCUGUGAAAUACAUAACAUGCAACAACUUCAUUAGCACAGUAGAAAAUACAUAAGGAUAUUAUACAUUGUAGAGUUUCAGUACUGGUUGAUAUCCCUCAGUAUCAUUAGUACCAUUGUGUUUUAAUUGGUUCUCUAUGAUUCAGUGAUAUCUGGCAUUAUAUUGAGAAUUGAGACAAGUAAUGUUAAUUUUACUAUAUAUUUCUUUGUCAUGAUAUUAAUUCUGGUUUAGAGCCAUCAUUAUGGUUGAACAUUUUCCUCCUCGCCUUUAAGAAUGUCUAUUAUAGCAAUGCAAACCCAAGUGGGUUCAUGGUUUAUGAUGCG
rnacentral:lncRNA from 1 species